UUUGGUACGUUUUUUUAUUUGGUACGUUUUUUUAUUUGGUACGUCUAUUUUAUUUGGUACGUUUUUUUAUUUGGUACGUUUUAUCUAAUUUUAAUUGUUUUGACUGUGAUCAGAUUAUCAUAUGCUGAGUGUUUGUGUGCCUGUAAGGGAUACCUUUUUUGGGGGGUUGAGUAAAAAUUUUAACAAUUUGAUAAAAAAAAAAAGAAAAAAUAGUUGGGAUUGUUUAAAAUUUUAUUAUACACAAUACGUGAAUGAUUAUGUAGAUAAGCCACAAAAAAGACCCACAUUACUUGUCCAUGAAAAAUGUGUUAAAAGUAUAUUAAGUGGUUUUCCUUGGAUAUAUAGUAACGAUGUAAAAAAUGCACAAGAGUUAAUGAUUUAUAGUCCGUGUUUAGUUAAUAUAAAAAAUGAAUUUAAUGAAUAUUUAGGAGUAGGAAUAUAUAAUAAAAAUUCAUCAAUUGCGUCUCGUAUUUUAAGUAAAAAUAUAAAUGAUCAUAUUAAUGAAGAUUUUUUUACAAAUAGAAUAAAAGCAGCAUUUGAAAAAAGGUUAUUAUUAUUUCCAAAUAGUAACUUUUUUCGUGUUGUUAAUGCAGAAAGUGACAAUUUACCUGGUAUUAUAAUAGAUAAAUAUAAUACGUUAUUAUGUAUCCAAAUAAAUACAAGUGGUAUGGAUAUAUUAUUACAGACUAUAUUGAAAAGUGUCGAAUCGGUGUUAGAACCAGAAAUUAUAAUUUUAAAAAAUGAUAAUCAUAUAAGGAAACUAGAAAAGUUAAGUUUUAAAAAAGAAAUAGUUAAGGGAUUAUAUAAAGCACCAACAGAAAUAAGAGAAAAUGGUUUAACAUUUUUUAUUGAUAUUUUAAAUGGACAAAAAACAGGUUGGUAUUAUGAUCAAAGAUAUAAUCGUUCUAUGCUUAUAUCUUAUUGUAAAAUAAAAAUGUUUUAGAUUUAUUUUCUUAUGUUGGUUCUUUUGGGAUUUCUUUAGCAUAUUAUGGUGCAAAAGAAGUUACAUGUGUUGAUUCGUCUCUUCCAGCAAUUGAAAAUGGUAUAAAAUCUGCACACUAUAAUCAUGUGUUGGAUAAAAUUAAUUUUGUAAAUGCUGAUGUAAAACAUUUUUAAACG
rnacentral:lncRNA from 1 species